rnacentral:tRNA from 1 species
GAAUGUAUAGCUCAGUGGUAGAGAGCAUGCCUAGCAUGCAUGAGGUCCUGGGUUCAAUUUCCAGUAUUUCCA